AGUUAAUGUCUUUGUUCUUCCUGCAAAAAUUAGCAAGAUGAUUAGUAUUUCCACAGUUAUGGCAUGUCUUGCUAGGUGCAUUUGGAACAGGCAUGUAGUUAUUACUCUUGUCUAUUCCAACCUUGCCAUUUCUAUUUUUCCUAGGCUCCUUGUCUUUGCUAUCAGACUUUACCUCUUUAAGCUUAUGCUUAAGCUGUUUUUGAGUCAUCAGUCCUAUAUUAACCUGUUUGGGCUUAUCAGAUUUUAAAUUGUUGUUUUAGCCCUUGAACAAGAGCUACAUUUGAUAUGAUGACAUUUCCAAGAUUGAUAUUGCCAUAUCCCAGAGUCCUUCCUAUGUUGCCAUCUCCAUAAGAAACACUUGGGCCAGCUUUCUCCACAAACUCUGACAGCAGGGCCUUAUUUCCAGUCAUGUGUCCUGAACAUCCACUGUCCAAGACUAGGAUAUUCUUCCUGUUGCCCUGCAAUCACAAAGACCACUAAUUGUUAGUUUUAAGGACCCAGACUUGCUUGGAUCCCUUGGCCUUAUUAAGUUUGUUAGCUUUUGCAGCGGAAUUAUUAUUAUCAGAGUUUGAGCUAACAGACUUUGGAACAGAGUUUGUACUAGAAACAGAUUUUGUACUUGCAGAGUUUUUAUUAACCUUCUUCAAAGAAGGUUUCAAUUGAUAAUAAUCAUAAUACAAACUAUGAUAUUCUUUGCAAGUAUAAAUAGAAUGCCAUAAACUACCACAAUGAAAACAUGGAUCUUGUGGUUUAUAUCUAAUACUACUUUUUCUAACUCCAGACUUUGUAGGUAAGGAGUUAAUGUCCUUGUUCUUCCUGCAAAAAUUAGCAAGAUGAUUAGUAUUUCCACAGUUAUGGCAUGUCUUCCUAGGUGCAUUUGGAAUAGGCAUGUAGUUAUUACUCUUGUCUAUUCCAAUCUUGCCAUUUCUAUUUUUCCUAGGCUCCUUGUUUUUGUCAUCAGACUUUACCUCUUUAAGCUUAUGUUUAAGCUGUUUCUGAGUCAUCAGUCCUAUGUUAACCUGUUUGGGCUUAUCAG
rnacentral:lncRNA from 1 species